rnacentral:rRNA from 1 species
UACGUAGGGUGCAAGCGUUGUUCGGAAUUAUUGGGCGUAAAGCGCGUGUAGGCGGCUUGGCAAGUCGGGUGUGAAAGCCCUCAGCUCAACUGAGGAAGUGCGCCCGAAACUGCUUUGCUUGAGUGUCGGAGAGGAUGGUGGAAUUCCCCAAGUAGAGGUGAAAUUCGUAGAUAUGGGGAGGAACACCGGUGGCGAAGGCGACCAUCUGGACGAUAACUGACGCUGAGACGCGAAAGCGUGGGGAGCAAACAGG